rnacentral:misc_RNA from 1 species
UCAAACUUGGUCAUUUAGAGGAAGUAAAAGUCGUAACAAGGUUUCCGUAGGUGAACCUGCGGAAGGAUCAUUAAAGGGAAAAUUCGGGGUUGGCCAAAGUCCCCCCCGUUCCUCCCACCCAUGAAUACACGAGGUCGUCCAUCCAAGUUACUUCGGCGGAUCUUUUCGCCGCCGAGCAACGCACACAAACUCUAAUUCAACGUGUCGUCUGAGAAAAAAAAACACAAUCGAAUCAAAACUUUCAACAACGGAUCUCUUGGUUCUGGCAUCGAUGAAGAACGCAGC